rnacentral:rRNA from 1 species
GACGAACGCUGGCGGCGUGCCUAACACAUGCAAGUCGAGCGAAUGAAGUUCCUUCGGGAAUGGAUUUAGCGGCGGACGGGUGAGUAACACGUGGGCAGCCUGCCUCAUAGAGGUGAAUAGCCUCCCGAAAGGGAGAUUAAUACCGCAUAAGAUUGUAGUACCGCAUGAUACAGCAAUUAAAGGGGCAAUCCGCUAUGAGAUGGGCCCGCGGCGCAUUAGCUAGUUGGUGAGGUAAUGGCACACCAAGGCGGCGAGGCGUAGCCGACCUGAGAGGGUGAUCGGACACAUUGGGACUGAGACACGGCCCAGACUCCUACGCGAGGCAGCAGUGGGGAAUAUUGCACAAUGGGGGAAACCCUGAUGCAGCAACGCCGCGUGAGUGAUGACGGCCUUCGGGUUGUAAAGCUCUGUCUUCAGGGACGAUAAUGACGGUACCUGAGGAGGAAGCCACGGCUAACUACGUG